ensembl:lncRNA
AAGGAAUGUGCACAAGGUGCCAGAGGAAAAGCUGGUUGGAGGAAAAUCUGGUAUCCUAUUCAGGGGGUUGACUACAGAGCCCACACUCAUUCCACCAAACUGUAUUGACUCAUAGUUUCUCUUUCAGUUUUGAAUUCUUAUUUCUCUUCACAGAGCUACCCACUGAAACAUUACUCACUCAAGGGCAAAGCUAUUCAUCUGUUUUGUUUAACCUCAUACUUGGUUCUGAACAGAGACACUCAAUAAAAAUUUGUGGAAUAAAUCCUGUCUUUUCUUACCCUGCAGAAGCUUGAGUUUGAGCUUGCUCAAACUCAUGUCCAUUGAAUCAGUGAUGCCAUCCAACCAUCUCAUCCUCUGUUGUCCCCUUCUCCUCCUGCCCACCAGGCUCAUCUGUCCAUAGGAUUCUCCAGGC